UACAGAGGGUGCGAGCGUUAAUCGGAAUUACUGGGCGUAAAGCGUGCGUAGACGGUAGCGUAAGUCGGGUGUGAAAGCCCCGGGCUCAACCUGGGAAUUGCAUUCGAGACUGCUCUGCUAGGGUGCGGAAGAGGGAAGCGGAAUUUCCGGUGUAGCGGUGAAAUGCGUAGAUAUCGCUUGGAACGCCAAUGGUGAAAACAGCUCGCUGGGGGUGUGCUGACGCUGAGACACGAAAGCCAGGGGAGCGAACGGG
rnacentral:rRNA from 1 species